rnacentral:rRNA from 1 species
UAGUCAUAUGCUUGUCUCAAAGAUUAAGCCAUGCAUGUCUAAGUAUAAGCAAUCUAUACCGUGAAACUGCGAAUGGCUCAUUAAAUCAGUUAUCGUUUAUUUGAUAGUACCUUACUACUUGGAUAACCGUGGUAAUUCUAGAGCUAAUACAUGCUAAAAACCUCGACUUCGGAAGGGGUGUAUUUAUUAGAUAAAAAACCAAUGCCCUUCGGGGCUCCUUGGUGAUUCAUAAUAACUUAACGAAUCGCAUGGCCUUGUGCCGGCGAUGGUUCAUUCAAAUUUCUGCCCUAUCAACUUUCGAUUGUAGAGUAGUGGUCUACAAUGGUUUCAACGGGUAACGGGGAAUUAGGGUUCUAUUCCGGAGAGGGAGCCUGAGAAACGGCUACCACAUCCAAGGAAGGCAGCAGGCGCGCAAAUUACCCAAUCCCGACACGGGGAGGUAGUGACAAUAAAUACUGAUACAGGGCUCUUUUGGGUCUUGUAAUUGGAAUGAGUACAAUUUAAAUCCCUUAACGAGGAACAAUUGGAGGGCAAGUCUGGUGCCAGCAGCCGCGGUAAUUCCAGCUCCAAUAGCGUAUAUUAAAGUUGUUGCAGUUAAAAAGCUCGUAGUUGAACCUUGGGCCUGGCUGGCCGGUCCGCCUCACCGCGUGCACUGGUCCGGCCGGGUCUUUCCUUCUGAGGAGCCGCAUGCCCUUCACUGGGUGUGUCGGGGAAUCAGGACUUUUACUUUGAAAAAAUUAGAGUGUUCAAAGCAGGCCUAUGCUCGAAUACAUUAGCAUGGAAUAAUAGAAUAGGACGUGUGGUUCUAUUUUGUUGGUUUCUAGGACCGCCGUAAUGAUUAAUAGGGAUAGUCGGGGGCAUCAGUAUUCAAUUGUCAGAGGUGAAAUUCUUGGAUUUAUUGAAGACUAACUACUGCGAAAGCAUUUGCCAAGGAUGUUUUCAUUAAUCAGUGAACGAAAGUUAGGGGAUCGAAGACGAUCAGAUACCGUCGUAGUCUUAACCAUAAACUAUGCCGACUAGGGAUCGGGCGAUGUUAUCUUUUUGACUCGCUCGGCACCUUACGAGAAAUCAAAGU